rnacentral:rRNA from 1 species
ACGGGGGCCCGCACAAGCGGUGGAGCAUGUGGUUUAAUUCGAUGCAACGCGAAGAACCUUACCUGGUCUUGACAUCCACGGAAGUUUUCAGAGAUGAGAAUGUGCCUUCGGGAACCGUGAGACAGGUGCUGCAUGGCUGUCGUCAGCUCGUGUUGUGAAAUGUUGGGUUAAGUCCCGCAACGAGCGCAACCCUUAUCCUUUGUUGCCAGCGGUCCGGCCGGGAACUCAAAGGAGACUGCCAGUGAUAAACUGGAGGAAGGUGGGGAUGACGUCAAGUCAUCAUGGCCCUUACGACCAGGGCUACACACGUGCUACAAUGGCGCAUACAAAGAGAAGCGACCUCGCGAGAGCAAGCGGACCUCAUAAAGUGCGUCGUAGUCCGGAUUGGAGUCUGCAACUCGACUCCAUGAAGUCGGAAUCGCUAGUAAUCGUGGAUCAGAAUGCCACGGUGAAUACGUUCCCGGGCCUUGUACACACCGCCCGUCACACCAUGGGAGUGGGUUGCAAAAGAAGUAGGUGGCUUAACCUUCGGGAGGGCGCUUACCACUUUGUGAUUCAUGACUGGGGUGAAGUCGUAACAAGGUAACCGUAGGGGAACCUGCGGUUGGAUCACCUCCUUACCUUAAAGAAGC